AUGGCUGCAGGUGGAGCUUAUUUUCUUGUUGUUGUUGUUUUCUCCAUGUUGAUCAUGUCUUCCCUGGGGAAUCACAUACCUUUAUGCAGCGACUGCGAGACGCUAUGCCGUACUAACUGCACCGCGGAGGCUGAAACCUACUGCAGCAAUUACUGCAAAGAUUGCCAAGGUUGCACGCGCGGCUACUUCGACGAGUACUGCUAUCCCAAAUGUGUCAACAACUGCAACAACAGCUGCGAGAAGGAAGGCUCUUCCCUGGUGCAUCCGAGCCCUCCACCGAGACCUUUUUGCAGCGACUGCGAGCCACAAUGCCGUACCAACUGCAACGCAGUGGUUGAAAGCCGCUGCCGUGCUACAUGCAACGACAAGCUCAGCAGUCAUGAGGACUGCUGGCGUGCGGUCUUCCAGGGGUGCACCGCAGACGGUAGCUGCUGCAGUAGCAACGACACAUGCACUUGUGACUGCAACACCGUAGCUCAAGACCGUUGCAUUGGGGUCAGCGACAACGACAACUACACAGAUUGCGAAGCUUGCAAGCGUGACCAGUUCGACCAGUGCUAUUCCACCUGUAAGAACGACUGCAACAACAGCUGCAAGAAGAAAGGGUGCCGCCAUGCCUAG
rnacentral:rRNA from 1 species